UUUCGCAAUGCCCGAAAGGGUGACGAAGCGACGCCGCGUGUGGGAAGAAGGCCUUCGGGUUGUAAACCACUGUCGGGGGUUAGGAAAUGCAAGGGUGCUAAUAGUAUCCUUACUUGACUAAGGCUCCGGAGGAAGCCACGGCUAACUCUGUGCCAGCAGCCGCGGUAAUACAGAGGCGGCAAGCGUUGUUCGGAAUUAUUGGGCGUAAAGAGCACGUAGGCGGCCUUGUAAGUCAGUUGUGAAAGCCUUCUGCUUAACGGAAGAACAGCAGCUGAUACUGCAAGGCUAGAGUGCGGAAGGGGAGAGUGGAACUUCUGGUGGAGCGGUGAAAUGCGUAGAUAUCAGAAGGAACACCGGCGGCGAAGGCGACUCUCUGGUCCGUAACUGACGCUGAGUGUGCGAAAGCUAGGGGAGCAAACGGGAUUAGAUACCCCGGUAGUCCUAGCCGUAAACGAUGGGCACUAAGUAGAGGGGUUUUA
rnacentral:rRNA from 1 species